rnacentral:rRNA from 2 species
UAGGGAAUCUUCCGCAAUGGACGAAAGUCUGACGGAGCGACGCCGCGUGAGCGAAGAAGGUCUUCGGAUCGUAAAGCUCUGUUGUUAGGGAAGAAGAAGUGCCGUUCGAACAGGGCGGCACGGUGACGGUACCUAACGAGAAAGCCCCGGCUAACUACGUGCCAGCAGCCGCGGUAAUACGUAGGGGGCGAGCGUUGUCCGGAAUUAUUGGGCGUAAAGCGCGCGCAGGCGGUCCCUUAAGUCUGAUGUGAAAGCCCACGGCUUAACCGUGGAGGGUCAUUGGAAACUGGGGGACUUGAGUGCAGAAGAGGAGAGCGGAAUUCCACGUGUAGCGGUGAAAUGCGUAGAGAUGUGGAGGAACACCAGUGGCGAAGGCGGCUCUCUGGUCUGUAACUGACGCUGAGGCGCGAAAGCGUGGGGAGCAAACAGG